rnacentral:rRNA from 1 species
GAUGAACGCUGGCGGCGUGCCUAACACAUGCAAGUCGAGCGAAGCACUUUGCUUAGAUUCUUCGGAUGAAGAGGAUUGUGACUGAGCGGCGGACGGGUGAGUAACGCGUGGGUGACCUGCCCCAUACCCGGGGGACAACAGCUGGAAACGGCUGCUAAUACCGCAUAAGCGCACAGAGCUGCAUGGCUCGGUGUGAAAAACUCCGGUGGUAUGGGAUGGGCCCGCGUCUGAUUAGGCAGUUGGCGGGGUAACGGCCCACCAAACCGACGAUCAGUAGCCGGCCUGAGAGGGCGACCGGCCACAUUGGGACUGAGACACGGCCCAAACUCCUACGGGAGGCAGCAGUGGGGAAUAUUGCACAAUGGGGGAAACCCUGAUGCAGCGACGCCGCGUGAGCGAAGAAGUAUUUCGGUAUGUAAAGCUCUAUCAGCAGGGAAGAUAAUGACGGUACCUGACUAAGAAGCCC